AAACAGCAAUCAAUACGCGUCGUUAGCAGUUGAUAACGUGCUUACACUUGUUGACAUGUCAAUUAGCCAUGUUUUUGCCCUUUGUAAAGGGCUGCACCGCAAUAAAUUUGCGAACAUGCCACGCGAACCACGCUAAUUAAAAGGUUGACAAAUAACAUUUUUUUACAAUAACAGCGCCCACCAAAAACUGAUCGAAGCAGCGUCAAAACAAGCAUUGUCGUUUAAUGUUGUAUUUAAUUGCUUGUCGUUAUCUUUUGCAUAUCAUUCACACACAAAAUAUUCGGCUAGGAAUCCAGCUGCACACUUUUUUUUAUUCAUUCAACAAAAAUGAAAUCGUUUAAAGCGAUAUUGUACAUCGUAGUGGUGAUUUUAUACACCUUUGUGAUAAUGACGGAUUCCGUCUCAGGGGAGAUUUUCAUGGACGUAUUCGGCGACUUUGGCGGUGGAGAGAUGUUCGGGGACCAUUUCCUGCCCAUGUGGUGCGCCUUCCGGAUGCCCUGCCACCGGCUACUGUGGUACAGGAUGAUGUUCCAGUGACAACCGAUAGAUGGUUGUUGCGUUCGAGGGCAGCACGUUGCAAGUACGAACUGUUCCACAGAAGCAAUGAUCUUAUGCUGAAUCAAAGAAGUUCAAAUGUAUAUUGUGUAUUGUUUUUGUUAGCGGAUUUAUUAAAUCACUUUUUUUU